rnacentral:sRNA from 1 species
CUUCGAGGAUCUGCGGACAGAUGAAAUGGACGUGACAGUCGAUGCCGCCCGCGGUGAGGAUUCGCCCGUUGCCGGCGAUGAUCUCGGUGGACGGGCCCACCACCAGGUCGGGGUGCACCCCGGACAUGAUGUCGGGGUUGCCGGCCUUGCCGAUCGCGACGAUGCGGCCGUCGCGAAUCCCGAUGUCGGCCUUGAUGAUUCCCCAGUAGUCGAUGAUGAUCGCGCCGGUGAUCACGGUGUCCGGGGCACCGUCGGCGCGGGUCGCCCGAGCCUGCCCCAUGGACUCGCGCAG